GACGAACGCUGGCGGCGUGCUUAACACAUGCAAGUCGAACGGAAAGGCCCUGCUUUUGUGGGGUGCUCGAGUGGCGAACGGGUGAGUAACACGUGAGUAACCUGCCCUUGACUUUGGGAUAACUUCAGGAAACUGGGGCUAAUACCGGAUAGGAGCUCCUGCUGCAUGGUGGAGGUUGGAAAGUUUCGGCGGUUGGGGAUGGACUCGCGGCUUAUCAGCUUGUUGGUGGGGUAGUGGCUUACCAAGGCUUUGACGGGUAGCCGGCCUGAGAGGGUGACCGGCCACAUUGGGACUGAGAUACGGCCCAGACUCCUACGGGAGGCAGCAGUGGGGAAUAUUGCACAAUGGGCGGAAGCCUGAUGCAGCAACGCCGCGUGCGGGAUGACGGCCUUCGGGUUGUAAACCGCUUUCGCCUGUGACGAAGCGUGAGUGACGGUAAUGGGUAAAGAAGCACCGGCUAACUACGUGCCAGCAGCCGCGGUGAUACGUAGGGUGCGAGCGUUGUCCGGAUUUAUUGGGCGUAAAGGGCUCGUAGGUGGUUGAUCGCGUCGGAAGUGUAAUCUUGGGGCUUAACCCUGAGCGUGCUUUCGAUACGGGUUGACUUGAGGAAGGUAGGGGAGAAUGGAAUUCCUGGUGGAGCGGUGGAAUGCGCAGAUAUCAGGAGGAACACCAGUGGCGAAGGCGGUUCUCUGGGCCUUUCCUGACGCUGAGGAGCGAAAGCGUGGGGAGCGAACAGGCUUAGAUACCCUGGUAGUCCACGCUGUAAACGGUGGGUACUAGGUGUGGGGUCCAUUCCACGGGUUCCGUGCCGUAGCUAACGCUUUAAGUACCCCGCCUGGGGAGUACGGCCGCAAGGCUAAAACUCAAAGGAAUUGACGGGGCCCCGCACAAGCGGCGGAGCAUGCGGAUUAAUUCGGUGCAACGCGUAGAACCUUACCUGGGUUUGACAUGGAUCGGGAGCGCUCAGAGAUGGGUGUGCCUCUUUUGGGGUCGGUUCACAGGUGGUGCAUGGCUGUCGUCAGCUCGUGUCGUGAGAUGUUGGGUUAAGUCCCGCAACGAGCGCAACCCUUGUUCACUGUUGCCAGCACGUUAUGGUGGGGACUCAGUGGAGACCGCCGGGGUCAACUCGGAGGAAGGUGGGGAUGACGUCAAGUCAUCAUGUCCCUUAUGUCCAGGGCUUCACGCAUGCUACAAUGGCUGGUACAGAGAGUGGCGAGCCUGUGAGGGUGAGCGAAUCUCGGAAAGCCGGUCUCAGUUCGGAUUGGGGUCUGCAACUCGACCUCAUGAAGUCGGAGUCGCUAGUAAUCGCAGAUCAGCAACGCUGCGGUGAAUACGUUCCCGGG
rnacentral:rRNA from 1 species